GGCUGCAACUCGCCUGCAUGAAGUCGGAAUUGCUAGUAAUCGCGGAUCAGAAUGCCGCGGUGAAUACGUUCCCGGGUCUUGUACACACCGCCCGUCACACCAUGGGAGUCGGAAAUGCCCGAAGUCUGUGACCCAACCAUUAAGGAGGGAGCAGCCGAAGGCAGGUCGGAUGACUGGGGUGAAGUCGUAACAAGGUACC
rnacentral:rRNA from 1 species